ensembl:lncRNA
GGCGGGUGUGAUGGCGUCCGCCCGGCGUGGCCGCCGUUGCGCUUUGUGCCUUUGCGGCCUGGUCGUGUUGUGUGUGGGCGUUAAAGGCGCCCGAAGCGAUUUGGCAGUGAGUGUCGAUGUGCUGUUCUGGUAAGUGGUGGGCACAGUGGCAGCCAGCACGGCCGCGGGGCCAACAGAUCACCCGUGUGGGCCCAGGCACGGCCUGCUGUGUGUCCCUCCCUCGUCCUCCAUCCCUUCCGUGCCACCAUCCAUUCCUUCCCUUGUGCUCUUCUCCAUCCCUCCUCCCCAUGUCUCCCGACGGGCCCUGGCUUGUCCCGUGGCACCGUGGUCCCAGUGGUGUGAGCGAGGUCCCUUUGGUUGCCCCUCAUGUCCCCAAGCUGGGCCGUGCCCCCUGUGUCCCUUCCUGCCGUAGGAACGCCCGCAGCAGCUGGCUGCUGUCCCCAGGCUGUGGUAUUUUGCAGACAGCAGCUUUUCCCUCCUCGAAUUGUUUUACAGCCCCUUAUGAUCUCUUUUCUCAAUGCUAACAGUUGUCACGAGCUCAGUCGUCUAAGAAUUUGAGACUGGAGUUCACCUAAGGGGACUGGAGUGAACCUAAUGAGGUUGAAUGAGGCCAAGUGCAGGGUGCUGCACUUGGGCCGGGGCGGUCCCAGGUACUUGGAUAAACUGGGCGAAGAAGCCCUUGAGAGCAGCCGUGUGGAGAAGGACUUGGGGGUCCUGGUGGACGAGAAGCUGGACGUGAGCCAGCAGUGUGCGCUUGCCGCCCAGAAGGCCAACUGUGUUCUGGGCUGCAUUACAAAAAGGGUGUCCAGCAGGGAGAGGGAGGGGAUUGUCCCGCUCUGCUCGGCUCUUGUGAGGCCCCAUGUGAAGCACCGCGUCCAGGCCUGGAGCCCCCAGCACAGGAAGGACGUGGCGCUCUUGGAGCAGGUCCAGAGGAGGGCCACUAAGAUGGCCAGAGGGCUGGAGCACCUCUCCUGUGAGGAAAGGUUGAGGGAACUGGGCUUGUUCAGCUUGGAGAAGAGAGGGCUCCGGGGAGACCUAAACCAACGCCUAACCCAAACCCUAACCCUAGCCCAACAUCUAAACCAACACCUAAUCCUAAACCUAAGGCAAUCCCUAAUCCUAAACCUAAGCCAACAGCUAACCCUAACCCAUCCCCUAACCCAAUCCAUAGCCCUAAGCUUAAGCCUAACCCUAAGCCAAACCCUAGCCCUAACCAUAGCCCCUAACUCCAGCACUAACCGUAAUGGUAAACUUAAUGAUAAUCCUAACCCUAACACAAACCCUUCUUUCCGGAGCUGGGGAAACCGACUCCAGAAAUGCCAUCUGAGGGAACAGACGUCCUGGCAGAUAGAACAAACCAGGUGUGAGCACUGUCUUUCCAAAGUUACACUGAAGCCGUUGGAGGACAGGUCGGACCUCAGGCCUUCCCGCGGCACCAACUACUGACGGCGGAUUUGCUCACAGAUCCUUCACAGCUGUUUCAAAGAACCAUUCUGUGAUUCUAUGAUCUUCCAGGACCCGUUCCAAGCCACACCAUCCUGUGGUUCUAUCAUCUUCCAGGACUCUUGCAACACAAACCAUUCUAUGGUUCUGUGAUCACUCAGGAACCUCCCAAGCCACGCCGUCCUGCAGUUCUAUGAUCUUCCAGGACCCUUCCAACACGGACCAUCCUAUGGUUCUAUGAUCUUCCAGGACCCUCCUGUGCGGGUGAUAUCACCAUGACGUGAUGACCUCACAGAUGCCCUGGGGUGGGGCAGGGGCAGUGGGUCAGCGCGGAACCUGCUGGCCCCAUUCUGCGGGUGGUGCUGGUCCAGCGAGGAGCUGUGCGAGUGGUGCAGUAAUGCGGGCCCAGUGUGUCAGCAGAAGAUUAAGGGCGGUGUGGCGUGCGAAGCUGGUGGAGGAGGAGCUGCUGGCUCAUGCGGCCGUGGAGAAGUGCAAGGCCGUGGCCAGGGAAUCCUUGAUGAAGGAUGCCCAGAAAUUACGGGCAGAAAGAACAGCUGCCAGGAAAGAGAAGCUGAAGCAGGAGAAGCAGCUCGUUGCCCAGCUGGAAGAGCAGCUGCAGGCUGAGACAGAGGAGAUGGAGGUGCUGCGCCAGGAAAAACAGCAGCCUGCAAGAGGAGCGGGAGGAGCUGGAGCUGGAGGGUGCCUGGCAGCAGCAUCAGCUGGAGCUGGAGGCAGUCCCACGUGCCUGGGGCUGUGCUGCCGAAGCUGGUGGAGGCAGAGCUGGAGAAGAAGGAGCAGGCGAGGAGACGAGGGCUCGCCUUCUGGAUGAAGACAAUCUGCCUCAUCUUCGUCAGCCUCCUGCUGCUGCUCGUUGCCGUGCUGGGCUCUGCAGUGCUGUACGCCCAGCACUAUGACCAGGAGCUGUUGUAUCGGCUCCUGCUGCGAGUGCUGCCCCAGGCAAUGUACGCUUCCCCGGCGUACUUUGCGAGCAGGAGCCUGCGUGUGGUCUGUGAUGGGCUGCUGCCCAUCUGACCGCCCCUCUCAGUCCCCCCUCCCAGCUCGGGGCUGCGCAGUGGUGGGGUGCAGGGAGAGAGCUCUGUCCCCACGGAAGGGGCCUCUCCUGUGCUCCUGCCCCCAGGGGCGCAGAGGCACAGCUGUGGGGCAGUGCCGGCAGGCGGCUGAGUGCCACCACUUUGGACUUACAAAUAAGUUGGUACUGUCGUCGUCAACUGAACACCACCACCUCCGACGACCCAUCAGACUGAAGAUGUGCACCUGACGCCAGGACGUGGCUUCUUGGAUUCUUUGAGUCUUCGUAGCAGCCAUUUCCUUCAGCUGGUUACCUGUAAGGCUUAUGAAUUGUAAUUAGCCCAUUAGGCAAUGUUACCUCCAGUGGGCUGCUGUCAGUUGUUAAGAACGCUGUCAAUAAAUGGAUGUGUA